CUACGGGUCGCUGCAGUGGGGAAUAUUGGACAAUGGGGGAAACCCUGAUCCAGCAAUGCCGCGUGUGUGAAGAAGGCCUGCGGGUUGUAAAGCACUUUCGGUUGGGAGGACUGCUUCUAGCACUAAUAUUGUUGGAAGUUGACGUUACCUUCAGAAGAAGCACCGGCUAACUCCGUGCCAGCAGCCGCGGUAAUACGGAGGGUGCAAGCGUGAAUCGGAAUUACUGGGCGUAAAGCGCGCGUAGGCGGCUAGAUCAGUCGGGUGUGAAAGCCCCGGGCUUAACCUGGGAACUGCAUCCGAUACUGUCUAGCUUGAGUACAGGAGAGGAGAGUGGAAUUCCACAUGUAGCGGUGAAAUGCGUAGAUAUGUGGAGGAACACCAAUGGCGAAGGCAGCCCUCUGGCCUGAUACUGACGCUGAGGUGCGAAAGCGUGGGGAGCAAACAGGAUUAGAUACCCCAGUAGUC
rnacentral:rRNA from 1 species